CAGCCGCCGCGGUAAUACAGAGGGUGCGAGCGUUAAUCGGAUUUACUGGGCGUAAAGCGUGCGUAGGUGGUGGUUUAAGUCCGUUGUGAAAGCCCUGGGCUCAACCUGGGAAUUGCAGUGGAUACUGGGUCACUAGAGUGUGGUAGAGGAUAGUGGAAUUUCCGGUGUAGCAGUGAAAUGCGUAGAGAUCGGAAGGAACAUCUGUGGCGAAGGCGACUAUCUGGGCCAACACUGACACUGAGGCACGAAAGCGUGGGGAGCAAACAGGAUUAGAUACCCGUGUAGUCCCUGUCUCUUAUAC
rnacentral:rRNA from 1 species